GUAGGUGGCAAGCGUUGUCCGGAAUUAUUGGGCGUAAAGCGCGCGCAGGCGGGUUCUUUAAGUCUGAUGUGAAAGCCCACGGGCUCAACCGUGGAGGGUCAUUGGAAACUGGAGAACUUGAGUACAGAAGAGGAAAGCGGAAUUCCACGUGUAGCGGUGAAAUGCGUAGAGAUGUGGAGGAACACCAGUGGCGAAGGCGGCUUUCUGGUCUGUAACUGACGCUGAGGCGCGAAAGCGUGGGGAGCAAACAGGAUUAGAUACCCUGGUAGUCCACGCCGUAAACGAUGAGUGCUAAGUGUUAGGGGGUUUCCGCCCCUUAGUGCUGCAGCUAACGUAUUAAGCACUCCGCCUGGGGAGUACGGCCGCAAGGCUG
rnacentral:rRNA from 1 species